rnacentral:rRNA from 1 species
AGUGAACGCUGGCGGUAGGCCUAACACAUGCAAGUCGAACGGCAGCACAGUAAGAGCUUGCUCUUACGGGUGGCGAGUGGCGGACGGGUGAGGAAUACAUCGGAAUCUACUUUUUCGUGGGGGAUAACGUAGGGAAACUUACGCUAAUACCGCAUACGACCUACGGGUGAAAGCAGGGGAUCUUCGGACCUUGCGCGAUUGAAUGAGCCGAUGUCGGAUUAGCUAGUUGGCGGGGUAAAGGCCCACCAAGGCGACGAUCCGUAGCUGGUCUGAGAGGAUGAUCAGCCACACUGGAACUGAGACACGGUCCAGACUCCUAGGGAGGCAGCAGUGGGGAAUAUUAGACAAUGGGCGCAAGCCUGAUCCAGCGAUACCGCGUGGGUGAAGAAGGCCUUCGGGUUGUAAAGCCCUUUUGUUGGGAAAGAAAAGCAGCAGGUUAAUACCCCGCUGUUCUGACGGUACCCAAAGAAUAAGCACCGGCUAACUUCGUG